CAAGGUAACAGAAUCAUUGUUUAUUAUUAAAAUAGAUUAUAGAAAGCAGCAUCUAUUUUGUGCAGUUUUUAGGGGCCUUGGAAAUAAAAAGCUAUGAUUUCCAAAAAUAUAACAUUCCAAAGGAUUGAAUAAUACAUACAUUUAAAGAUACAUUUUAUUAAAGUUUAGGAGAACUGAUUAAAAAAGAUACUGUCUCUUUAAAUGAGUGUGUAAUUGUUUUCUCCUCCUAUCUAUUCGGACAUGACAAUAAUUAUAAAUGGAGGUCACACUACAACUAGGUAGUCUCUAGGGACCAUGACCUGCUGACACACGGCCGAUAACAAAGAGGCUUUUCCAUGUAUGAGGUGGCUCCUGGGUUCACGGCAGGUCUCUUGGGAGAGGCCUAAUAGACCCAGGAGACCGGGACCCACUGCGGGGCUGUGCACACGAGCUCCACAGCUUCCUCCAGAUGUCUGAUUGUCUCAUCAAUUUCAUUGUUGAUAAUUGUGAGAUCGAAGUAGUGUGCGUAUGUUCUCUGUAAGAUAUCGGACUCCUUCUGCAGACGCUGAAGAGAUUCAUCCUAAAUGGCGGUGGGAUGGAGGUCGGGGUAGGGCGUGGGAGAAGGGAAAAAGCAAAGACAAGACAGAAGUCAGCUGGACUCUUUCUCUCUCCACGUUCCUGUUACUCCCAGUGUCACAAGCAGGCAAGGCUGGACCUCGAUGUGCUGCAUCGGGGCACGAGGCCAAGUCCGCUUUGUGACAGAGGAGGCAGUGGGCCCUGCGAUGGCAGGGUCACGGAGGAGCGACCUGUGGCCCGACUGCUCACCAUGCAACGGGAGCUCCAUGCCAAACCGGGGGAUCAGAGAAACCAGACACUCUUCGGCAAACACAACACCCCACCGGCCCGGCUGCUGCCAUCUGCCCCAGCGGGAGCCAGUCUCCUGACCGACCGGCAGUGAGGGCUCCGGAGGUGAGGACAGAGCCCUGCAUCCCCCUGCUUCCCUCUGUCCUCUGCUCGCACUUGUAUGGGGCCCCAGAGCCCAGCUGCAUCUGCACCAAGAAGCCACUGCCUCUGGCCAACAAAUUAAGUUGCAUUUUCCCCUCUUCUCCUUAGAGGUCCAACAUGUUCCAGGAAUUCAAUUAUGUAUAAUGGCCCUCGCUCAAUAGCAGUGGAUGCCAGAGGCAAAAGCUUUUUGGAUGUUGCAAAUAAUGGAUGAAAUAAGGCCAUUUCCCAGAUACAACAGCAACUGGCAUCUGAUGAAUCCCCUCAAACUGCUCUAUGCUGGAAAUGGCCAGAUGUCACUGGUCAGAAGGACUCGUACCGCUCAGGGAAAAAACUCAAGGGAAAGCAGCGACUGAACUCUAGGGGGCUUUGCUGCAGGAAAGGACUUCCCCUCAACUCCUAGAGCUUGCUGCAGAUCUCUUAAGGGCCACCAGAAAGUCUGCCUCUGGAUCCUCACAGGGCGGAUACCAUUUGGUUGAACUUUCAAUGGACAAAUUCAAAUCUGAGGCCAGAGAACUCUGUAAGUCAACUUUGCCCUGCCUCUCCCCCAACACGAGGUAGGUAAGGAAGGUAUUGGGCUGAAUCUUACGUAUGUGGAGAUAUAGUUAAUACCUGUUUAUGUGAUUAGUAUCUUUCCCCGACUGGAGCGUAAACUUGUCUGUGUGCCCGGUCAUUGCUGUGCCCAGCAUUUGGCACUGUGCCCCGCACACAGCAAGUGCUUACUUGGAAAGAAAGCACCUGGCUAAUAUUGCCCAUUAUGGGGUUUGAUGAGUGCAAACCUCUACUAGGUCCUACUAUUCUACUAGGAAAUGGAGGCCCAUGAUAACAGAGACCUCCAGAAACACUAAAGGAUGCGGGAGCCAUGGUGCCCAGAGCUGACUUAGGACCCCUCCCCCCUUCUCUGAGGCCCAUCCAUUAUUUGUGAGAAACCCUUGCUGAUGAGCCCCGGUCUGUGGGUGUGAGUCUCUGGGAAGGGGAUCGAAUGGGGUGUCACCGGAUCCCAUCAUAGCAACAUGGUGUGGGUGGACAGUUACGAGGCAAGCUAGGGACUCCAUCUUUUCUCUCAGGAUGCUCUGAA
rnacentral:lncRNA from 1 species